rnacentral:rRNA from 1 species
UACGAAGGGGGUUAGCGUUGUUCGGAUUUACUGGGCGUAAAGAGCGCGCAGGCGGUCGAUUUAGUCGCGUGUGAAAGCCCCCGGCUCAACUGGGGAGGGUCACGCGAUACUGAUCGACUCGAAGGCAGGAGAGGGUAGUGGAAUUCCCGGUGUAGUGGUGAAAUGCGUAGAUAUCGGGAGGAACACCAGUGGCGAAGGCGACUACCUGGCCUGUUCUUGACGCUGAGGCGCGAAAGCUAGGGGAGCAAACGGG